AGUUGGACUAUUUCUUGGAUGAGGAAACUGGUUGGUCUGUCGUUGUUGAUGAGUUACAGCAAGUUUUACUGGAAGGCAAAACUCACUGUCAGCCGAGGGCAAUAGUGGUGAUAAACCCCGGUAACCCUACAGGGCAAUUAUUAUCAAGGAAAAACAUGGAAGAUAUUAUUAAAAUUUGCAGAAAGAGAAAAACUAUUGAUAAUUGCAUUUGAGGUUUACCAGGACAAUGUUUAUGAAGACAAUAUAUUUCAAUCUUUUAAGAAAGUUCUAUAUGAGAUGGAAGCUCCU